rnacentral:rRNA from 1 species
GACGAACGCUAGCGGCAGGCCUAACACAUGCAAGUCGAGGGGCAUCAUGGCGUAGCAAUACGCUGAUGGCGACCGGCGCACGGGUGCGUAACGCGUAUGGAACCUACCCACCGCAGGGGGAUAACCCGCCGAAAGGCGGACUAAUACCCCAUGGUUCCCCGACCCUGCCUGGGGUUGGGGGUAAAGCCUACGGGCGGCGGUGGAUGGCCCUGCGUGCCAUUAGCUGGCUAGUGGGGUAACGGCCCACCAGGGCGACGAUGGCUAGGGGGUCUGAGAGGACGAUCCCCCACACUGGUACUGAGACACGGACCAGACUCCUACGGGAGGCAGCAGUGAGGAAUAUUGGUCAAUGGGCGGAAGCCUGAACCAGCCAUGCCGCGUGCAGGAUGACGGCCCUACGGGUUGUAAACUUCUUACUACGCGAAUAGAGGUUAGUACGAGAUACUAAUAGGAAGGUAGUGUAGUAAAAGCACCGGCUAACUCCGUG